rnacentral:rRNA from 1 species
CAGUAGCCGCGGGAAUACGAAGGGUGCAAGCGUUAAUCGGAAUUACCGGGCGUAAAGCGUGCGUAGGCGGUUUGUUAAGUCUGUUGUGAAAUCCCCGGGCUCAACCUGGGAAUGGCAAUGGAUACUGGCAAGCUAGAGUGUGUCAGAGGAUGGUGGAAUUCCCGGUGUAGCGGUGAAAUGCGUAGAGAUCGGGAGGAACAUCAGUGGCGAAGGCGGCCAUCUGGGACAACACUGACGCUGAGGCACGAAAGCGUGGGGAGCAAACGGGAUUAGAUACCCCGGUAGUCCCUGUCUCUUAUAA